GGAGAGGUGCCAGAGUGGUCGAAUGGAACAGUCUUGAAAACUGUCGUGGGGCAACUCACCCAGAGUUCGAAUCUCUGUCUCUCCGCCA
rnacentral:tRNA from 1 species